UUUUCGGAAGGUAUGCUUAAAGAGGGGCUUGCGUCACAUUAGUUACUUGGCAGGGUAAAGGCCUACCAAGACUAUGAUGUGUAGCUGGACUGAGAGGUUGAACAGCCACAUUGGGACUGAGACACGGCCCAAACUCCUACGGGAGGCAGCAGUAGGGAAUUUUCGGCAAUGGAGGAAACUCUGACCGAGCAACGCCGCGUGAACGAUGAAGUAUUUCGGUAUGUAAAGUUCUUUUAUUGAAGAAGAAAAAAUAGUGGAAAAACUAUCUUGACGAUAUUCAAUGAAUAAGCCCCGGCAAACUAUGUGCCAGCAGCCGCGGUAAUACAUAGGGGGCGAGCGUUAUCCGGAAUUAUUGGGCGUAAAGGGUGCGUAGGCGGUUUAAUAAGUCUAUAGUUUAAUUUCAGUGCUUAACACUGUCCUGCUAUAGAAACUAUUAGACUAGAGUGAGAUAGAGGCAAGUGGAAUUCCAUGUGUAGCGGUAAAAUGCGUAAAUAUAUGGAGGAACACCAGAGGCGUAGGCGGCUUGCUGGGUCUUUACUGACGCUGAGGCACGAAAGCGUGGGGAGCAAACAGGAUUAGAUACCCUGGUAGUCCACGCCGUAAACGAUGAGUACUAAGUGUCGGGAUUACUCGGUACUGAAGUUAACACAUUAAGUACUCCGCCUGAGUAGUACGUACGCAAGUAUGAAACUUAAAGGAAUUGACGGGACUCCGCACAAGCGGUGGAUCAUGUUGUUUAAUUUGAAGAUACACGAAAAACCUUACCAGGUCUUGACAUACUCUGCAAAGCUAUAGCAAUAUAGUGGAGGUUAUCAGGGAUACAGGUGGUGCAUGGUUGUCGUCAGCUCGUGUCGUGAGAUGUUAGGUUAAGUCCUAAAACGAGCGCAACCCUUGUCAUUAGUUGCCAGCAUGUCAUGAUGGGCACUUUAAUGAGACUGCCAAUGAAAAAUUGGAGGAAGGUGAGGAUCACGUCAAAUCAUCAUGCCCCUUAUGAUCUGGGCUACAAACGUGAUACAAUGGCUGUUACAAAGAGUAGCUGAAACGCAAGUUUAUAGCCAAUCUCAUAAAAGCAGUCUCAGUUCGGAUUGAAGUCUGCAACUCGACUUCAUGAAGUUGGAAUCGCUAGUAAUCGCGAAUCAGCAUGUCGCGGUGAAUACGUUCUCGGGGUUUGUACACACCGC
rnacentral:rRNA from 1 species